UACGUAGGGUGCGAGCGUUGUCCGGAAUUAUUGGGCGUAAAGAGCUUGUAGGCGGUCUGUCGCGUCUGCUGUGAAAAUCCGGGGCUCAACCCCGGACCUGCAGUGGGUACGGGCAGACUAGAGUGUGGUAGGGGAGACUGGAAUUCCUGGUGUAGCGGUGAAAUGCGCAGAUAUCAGGAGGAACACCGAUAGCGAAAGCACUCUGCUGGGCCUGAACUGACACUGAGAGACGAAAGCUAGGGGAGCAAAAAGG
rnacentral:rRNA from 1 species